GCAGUGGUGGUUCAGUGGUAGAGUUCUCAUCUUUCAUGUGGGAGACCUGGGUUCAACUUCUAGCCAGUGUA
rnacentral:tRNA from 1 species